rnacentral:rRNA from 1 species
CCUACGGGUGGCUGCAGUGGGGAAUAUUGGACAAUGGGCGAAAGCCUGAUCCAGCCAUGCCGCGUGUGUGAAGAAGGCCUUCGGGUUGUAAAGCACUUUCAGUGGGGAAGAAAGCCUUGGGGCUAAUACCCUCGAGGAAGGACAUCACCCACAGAAGAAGCACCGGCUAACUCCGUGCCAGCAGCCGCGGUAAUACGGAGGGUGCGAGCGUUAAUCGGAAUUACUGGGCGUAAAGCGCGCGUAGGCGGUCUGAUAAGCCGGUUGUGAAAGCCCCGGGCUCAACCUGGGAAUGGCAUCCGGAAAUGCCAGGCUAGAGUGCAGGAGAGGAAGGUAGAAUUCCCGGUGUAGCGGUGAAAUGCGUAGAGAUCGGGAGGAAUACCAGUGGCGAAGGCGGCCUUCUGGACUGACACUGACGCUGAGGUGCGAAAGCGUGGGUAGCAAACAGGAUUAGAUACCCGAGUAGUC